GUCACUCCCUUGACGUCGUCGGUUCGUCAUUCCCUCGGCGUCAUCGGUUCGUCACUCCCUCGGCGUCACUAUGGGUCUCUCACCUCGUCGCUCUCUCGGUCUGUCACCGUGAGUCGGUGACCCUGCGUUUGCUUCGUCAGAACCAGUGAAGCAGCAUUUGCUCCCUCGGGUGGUGGUGGUGGUCGUCUUCUCAACUAGGAAGGACUGCUUUAGUUGCACUGGUUGCAUUCAUGCCAACCAACCCAAAUGGUGCAUUGGGCUCAUUAGACUACAAGAAAGAAGAGAGGCGCACAUUGGCAAUUAAAUUCCGUUAUGCAGCUCCAAGGUUUGGGACUCCUGAGCAGCAAAAACUGAUAGAUGAGGUAGAACAAUUCUUAUUGUUUUCUCCCUAGUGCAGUGUUCUGUAAUAUUAGGCAUAUUUUGGAGAUUAAGGAGAGACUUUACAACUAUCACAAAGAGUAGGUGCUGAGCUUUCAUGUGGUAAAGUGGUUGAAACAAAAGUUACCGAGUGUUGAGAAGGAAGAAUAGUAAUACCAGAAACAAUCUAUCCUGGCAGAGUCUAAAUUGUAUUGCUGUCACGUUUGUAGAACAAUUCUGUUAAUAGUUUCUACUUAUUGUUAGUGUGUAUAUCACUGUAUAAAAUUGAGAUUGAGACAAAUGUAUUCACUCAACUAUAUUGAUAUGUUAGUUGGUUACUUUAA